CCUACGGGUGGCAGCAGUGGGGAAUAUUGCACAAUGGGGGAAACCCUGAUGCAGCAACGCCGCGUGAAGGAAGACGGUUUUCGGAUUGUAAACUUCUGUUCUUAGUGAAGAAUAAUGACGGUAGCUAAGGAGCAAGCCACGGCUAACUACGUGCCAGCAGCCGCGGUAAUACGUAGGUGGCAAGCGUUGUCCGGAAUUACUGGGUGUAAAGGGAGCGCAGGCGGGAAGCCAAGUCAGCUGUGAAAACUACGGGCUUAACUUGUAGACUGCAGUUGAAACUGGUUUUCUUGAGUGAAGUAGAGGUUGGCGGAAUUCCGAGUGUAGCGGUGAAAUGCGUAGAUAUUCGGAGGAACCCCGAUUGCGAAGGCAGCUUACUAAACUGUGACUGACAUUGAUGCUCGAAAGUGUGGGUAUCAAACAGGAUUAGAUACCCCAGUAGUC
rnacentral:rRNA from 1 species